GUUCAAUUCCAUGCGUUACGCACACGCAGCAAGCGUUAUAAAAGCAGAGUCAUAUCCAUACAGUUUAAAUGAUAUCGAAGAAAGCAGCAAAGAAUCGACGGAUGGGUUCCCAUUGAAAGUAAAAUCGAUCAUCGAGGAUAUUUCAUCGAGGAUUUUUAAAAACUGUACCGUGGCACGAUCCAGAAUGGGUAUAUAGAAAUAUACGGGGCUUUAGCCGGAAAAGUUAAUUAAACGCAGUAUACGCCACGCCAACGGCUUAACAGUAACGUCAGUCAACACUGCCAUGGAAAUACGCGCGGUUAUUCUGUAUUCGUUUUACGAAAAUGGUUAGUCGUACUCGCUCGCGGAUAUUUUAUUAAAUUCUCAUUGUAACAAUUACGAAAUUCUAUUAGUGGGAUUAUAUAUUUUUUUUCAUAGCCACAUACCGGUUUUGUUGUGCCACCGUAAAUGAAACGUCAAUUGUACUUAAUUCUGUUAACAGCACGUUUCAACGUUAUGCAACGUACUCGCAGUACAAUGUAUGCCAAUGAAUUUGUUCUGCCAUCAGGGUGUAUCACGAUGGGUACGUGCGCCCUGUACUGGUGUUUUAUAAACGUGACGUCGCAGUAAUUACAAUGGCAUCUAGCCGGGCGUUUCUGCUCUAUUCCGUUACGGACCAUAGAGCUUAAUGUUUUUCAGGCCGAGUGAACUCGGCCGGAUCGAUGCCAUUUUUCUCUGCUUUGAGCGAUUCAGUCUCAAACGGUAGAAGCUCGUAAAAUCAGAGGUCGGAUAAUCGCGCAAGGGACUUGGACACAAAGCUUUGAUAACUGAAAUUAGUUUGAUAUUGUAUCGAGAGCCGAGAAUAUUAUGGCGAUGGUAGGGAGAUACGUUUUAAUAAUAAAUGGAGACAGAUACCGAGUUCCCUGGAGUUUUGCCCACGUAAAAAGGUAAGGCUCAGGUCGGUUGUAUUACCCUAAUUAGAUUCCCUGGAAUUCACGAACGACGAAAUCACAGUGGCAACAGAGUACCUAGUACAAUCCCUCUCUUGGACUCUAUCUGCCAUUCUAUUUUUACUCACC